rnacentral:rRNA from 1 species
UACGUAGGGGGCUAGCGUUGUCCGGAAUCAUUGGGCGUAAAGAGCGUGUAGGCGGCCCGGUAAGUCCGCUGUAAAAGUCAAAGGCUCAACCUUUGAAUGUCAGUGGAUACUGCCGGGCUAGAGUCCGGAAGAGGCGAGUGGAACUCCUGGUGUAGCGGUGGAAUACGCAGAUAUCAGGAAGAACACCAACGGCGAAGGCAGCUCGCUGGGACGGUACUGACGCUGAGACGCGAAAGCGUGGGGAGCGAACAGG